UCGGGCUCUCUGCUCGGCAGGGAGCCUGCUUCCUCCUCUCUCUCUGCCUGCCUCUCUGCCUUCUUGUGAUCGCUCUCUCUGUCAAGUAAAUAAAUAAAAUCUUUAAAAAGAAGAAAAGUAUUCUUGGCCUCAGUUUGUCUUUGCAUAUUUGGGAGAAGUUUUUAGAGGAUGAUCUCUAAAGCACUCUCCAUUCUAUCAUUUUAAAUUUCUAUCUAUGGCAUGUCAGUAGACAUGUCAAGUAGAAAAGAGUCUUUCUCUUUCAGAAAAGAGGUGCUUCCUGUUAUUGGGGGAGAGGAGGAGGCAGGAAUGGAAUUCAUUUUCUAUAGAGUAACAUUUCUCUAUGAAUAUUGAGAAAAAGGUGAUUACCCAUUGAACUGAAAUCAGAAUAAAAGUAAUGUGAAUAAGAAAAUGGAACUCUGUGUAUCAGACAAAGAACAAACUGACUUUGAUAAAGCCUUUGGUGUUUGCAGUGGAAGUAAUCCAUGAGUUGCUCAUCUAGAUGAAUCCUGGAGAUGCAGAAGUACGCAGCUGAACAGUGUUUAUGAGUCGGGGUGAGGGGGGAGAUUUAAACUACAUUCCCUUGGACAAAUGAUGGUUCUGCCCCUAUCAGCUGAGCUGACUCAGCAAGUUACUUAAACUUUCUAGAUCUAGUAAAGUUUUCUUUACUUUAAAGAGAGACAGAAAUAGUAUGCUCUCUAAUAGAGUUCUUGUAAGUAUUCAAAAAUCAGUAAAGUAAAAUGUUUACAGUGGUUCUGCCAUAUGAUAAGUACUCAAUAAUUACUGGCUAUCAUUGGUCCUCCAAUGUCAUUCAGUUUCCAUAAAACACCAAAGAAAUAAAUCAUACCAAUUUUUCAAAAAGCAACAGAUUAGAACAAUAAAUUCAGACCUAGCUGGAAGAAUGUUCUUGAGGGAGAGUGAAUGUGUUGUAAGUUAUUAUUAGUAAUCUUGAUGAUGAUGAUAAUGAUGAUUAUAAUUUAUUGCCUAUCAUGUCUUACAGGAAUUGCCCAAAGGACUUGAUAUUUUUGUUAUUGCAUCCUACCAAUAAAUCUACGAAGGAAGAUAUCAUAUAGAUAUUAUAUAGAUAAUAUAUAAAAUAUUAUGUAAAUUAGAAAACUGAGGCUCAGAUAGGUUAGUAAAAUGACUUGUAGUUAUAAAGUUAGAAUACUGAAGAAUCACUGAUCAAAAUUAUGCUUAAUGGGUUUGGAGCUCAUUCUCUUUCCACUGCCACACAUAGAACACUAUAUCCAUAAGAUAAAAGUUUAACCAGAUGGGCUUACAAAAAAAAAAAAAAAAAAAAAAAAAAACUACAGAGAUAGAAAAGGUAGAGAAAUUACCAGGUAGCUAAAAACCAAAUAUUGAACCCAGCUGAGGAUGACCAAGAAUAUAAAUAUAUCAAAACUUUCUCAUUUUAAGGAUUUAAAAAAACUUGACUGUAAGACUUUAGCCAUUCUCCUGUUGAGUAUCUCUUAACUCUGCGUGGUCAACACAUCCCUCAGGAAAACUAAGGAAACAAAGUGGUAAAAGAAUCUUGGGGUGCCUGGGUGGCUCAGUUGGUUAAGCAACUGCCUUCGUCUCGGGUCAUGAUCCUGGAGUCCUGGGAUCGAGUCCCACAUCGGACUCCCUGCUCAGCGGGGAGUCUGCUUCUCCCACUGAUUUCUCUCCUCUCAUGCUCUCUCUCUCUCUCUCUCUCUCUCUCUCUCAAAUAAAUAAAUAAAAUCAUUAAAAAAAAAAAAAAGAAUCUAGUCGGCAGCCAGCGGUCUCUUUUGCAAAUUACAUGAUUUCCUAGUUAACUGGAUUGGAGAGAGAAGUUGAUGACUGAUGACAGUGGUUAGGGUUAGGGCCAUUGCAAAAGAAAUGUUGGAAAUAGUCACAUUCAGAAUAUAUAUGUAUUCCAAAUAAAUAUGCUACAGCUCCAUCAGUUAUCUGUUGCUAUAUAACAAACUCUUCAAAGUCAAGGCCUAAAGUAACAACCAUUUAUUUUCUCAAGAGUCUGCAAUUUGAGUUGGAUACAGCUGGCAGCUUUUCUGUCUGAUAUCUCCUGGAGUCCCCCAUAAAGCUGUAAUCACUUGAUAGCUCAAAUGGAGUUGGGUGGUCCUAUGUGGCUUUAGUCACAUACCCGUGGGUUCUCUGGGGGUUGUCAGCCAGAGAAUCUUAAGAAAUCUCUACAUGGUCUCUUCAGCAAAAUAGCCUAGGCUUUGAACAAGGUGGUAACAACAUUCUAAAGGGUAGACCUCAGUGUUCCAGCAUGUAAAGAUUGCUGCUUUGGGCAUGUUUAUUGGUGUCCUACUGACCAAAGGCAGUCAUAGGACAAAGCCCAGAGUGAAUUUAGAAAGGGACUAUCCAAGGGCACAGAUAUUGGUAUGUAUAAUUAAUUGGAUGUCAUUGAUGUGACAGUCUGCCACAAAGGCUAAAAGAAUGAUGGAAAUUAGAUACAUACAUACAUACAGCUAUAGAUAUAUUUCUCUCAGAUAUAUGUGUGUGUAUAUAUGUAUGUAUGUGUAUUUGUGUGUGUGUAUAUAUAUAUAUAUACAUAUAUAUAUAUUUCUCUCAGAUAUAUAGAUAUAUAUAUAUUUCUUUCAGUGCCUUUCAACCUAAGUCAGAUCAUACUUUUAUUCUUUUGACCAAAAUGAUGCCAAAUUUGCAGAAUACUAAAACAAAGAUAUCAAACAUUAGCCAUAGGAUUUCACACUUUAUUCAUUAUCAAAGACAAGUUUAAAUGAAAAUUAUUACCUGCACUGCUCUCAGCAUGGAAGAAAAAAGGGCAUUAUUCAAUGGUUUCUUCAAUCCUAGAUCUGGCACUAAUCCUCUUGGCAAGAGAGUGCCUGAAGGGCUCAAACCCACAACCUAUAACUACUGGCCCUCAGAACUGCAGAUUAUGUAUUCCAAUAAAAUAAUGAUUUCAUUUGCUCUUAUUUGAAGUAAAAGGAAAAUAUUUCUUCCUAAUUAGUGUGUAGUGAGAUAGCAAAGGGCAAACAAAUAUUUCUAAACACACAGACUUAAAGCAAAGACUAUAAUUGUUAUAAUCAGAAUUAAGAGUAUCUAUUGGGAGAAGAAAAGUGAUGUGAUGCUUUGCAUACUAAGACACUGGUUAGAAAUUUUAGUGCCAUCUGCUCUGGUGAGAAGAAAAAAUAUAUAUAUAUUACCAAGCAAAGCCAGAGUCUCAAGCUUAAGGAGUAAUGGCUACAAAAGGGAAAUUCCUCCCAUGAGGAGUAAAGCUUAUAGACAAGAAUCUCUUUUCUCCUUCUCUAAUAGACUCAGAAAUUAAACACUCCUGCAAUCUCUUCUCUUCUCUGGAUCAAGGUUAGUCAAAUGGUGAGAGAUUUUGCCUCCAGGCUGAUCUACAUGCGUAACAAAAUGAGACACUGGAUUUUCCCCCAUUGGAAGGGAUAGUUUAUCCUGGUUUGCAAAGAAGGGUGCAUAUCCAUAUCAGGUGGUAAGGGAGGGAGUUUGUGGUAGAUGUGAUUGGUUGGUUGGUGAUUGAUUGGUUGCCCAUCAAAGAUUCAAGCUCCCUUCCAUUGUAUACAGUCACUGUCAGGAAAGGCUGACAGGUUAAACACUACAUUUCCCAACCUGCUGUGCAUCUAUGUGGGGCAUUGACCAACUACUGGUCAAUUCAAUGCCAGUUGAAGUGAUGGGUAGUAUUUCUAGACUUGGACAAUAAUUUAAAAAAAAAAAAAAACCCAAAUCCAUGUGCUUUUUUUCACAUUAUCUCCCUCAAUUUUGCUGCCUCGUUGACAUCUUAGUAGCUAAGUGUUAAGGAUGGCGUAUCUCCAAUCAGCUUAGGACCCUUAAUGACUGCGUAGAACAAAAUACCACCCCAUCCUCCUCAAACCCUACCCAUAGGAUUUAGGUGAGCAAAAACAAACUUUCAUUGUGUAAAACCAACAAAAUGUUUUAUUUUGUUUUAGCAGCUGGCAUUGCCUUAACUAAUAUGUGGGGAUGUCGAGAAUUUUAUCCCCACUGGAAUUCUGAGGUGAAGUGAAUUAGAAUAAGCAACUUGGCAAAUAGAGCAGCUGGGAAGAAUGAAUGUGCAGUGACAGGGAUCAGAGCCAAAAGCAGGAUAUUUGGAGCCAGACAAAUCUGGAUUUGAAUUCAAGAUUCACAAUUUAUGAAUAAGUGAGUGACUGUCAUAAACUAACCUUCUUUAUUCAAUGCCUACUACUUGCCAGACACUAUGAUAAGCACCAGGGAUACUGCAGCAAAUGAAAUAGAAAACCCCCUAUCAUUUGGGUGUUUAUAUUCUAGUCAGGGAGGUGGAUAAUACAUAAAUUUUUAAAAAAGUAAAAGUAUAGAAUGUGAUAGGAGCUGUGAAAAAUAAUGAAGAACAAGGAGAUAGGAGGGCAGAGCACAUUGUGUUAGACAGAAUGAUAUUCAGAGAAACCUUCUUUAAAUAGGUAAGUGACAUUUGAUUAGAAAUGUGUACGAAGUGGGAGAAUGAGCCUCAUUGCUAUUGGCAGAACGGAGUUUCAGGUGGAUGGAAGAAUAAGGAUAAAUACCUGAAAACAGCAGAUGCAUGGCAUAGCAAAAAAUAGCAAGAAGCCUAGUACUGCUGGAAUCAAACAUGUAAGAAGAAAAUCAGGAAGAAAUGAGCUUAGCCAGGUAGGCAGUGACCAGAACAUAGAGGACUUUGUUUCGGUUCAGGUCUCUCAGAAGCAAAACAUAAAACAAGAAUUUGUGUGAAACUGGUUUAUUGAGGGAGUCCUCUCAAGAGAAGGUUACAAGGUAAGAAUAUAGGAUAGAGAGCGAGACAAAACAAAGCAAGAAAGUGAACUCUGCUGGAGACCACUGGCAGCCCAAUGUCACAGAAGGUCUGGAGAAGGAAGAGCCCUAGAGAGUUGGUCCCACUUUGUAGGAAGAAAAAUGUCCUUUUGUUCUCUCACAUCACCAGCCAUUACCAGUAAGCUGCUCCUGGGAAGAAGGGGACAUAACUUCCCAGAUGAGGUGGCACCUGUACAGCCAAGGACAAUUUGCAGGAGAUGUGGGCAGCUAUGAGCCAUUAGCAGCCACCAUCAGCAUGUGACUGUUACAUACGCUGGGAUAAACCACAGUCUCCUUGGGAUCCCUCCCUAGCUAAUAGCAUGAUAAUGUGGGCGAUAUGCCAGAACAUGGCAUCAGGUCAGCCCAGCCACUGACCUUCUGGUAAGGUAUGAGGCCCCUACCCAACCCACCCGCACACACACCACUCAUUAUACACAUUUACUCUGGUAAAUCAGAAAAUGUAGAAGUCUGAGUACAUUUUACCAACUAUGAUAAGCUUUCUCUCCUCUGUACCUUCUCAGAAUUGACAGGUAUCAUUAAAACCUCCUCCAUAAAACUUUUUAGCACUUAACUAAGUUCCAGUCUCCAUGGGAAGAAUAAAUGAAGGCACAUUUUUUUUAAUGUAUAAACUGAAUCUUCAGAGGUACAGCGUUGGAGGUUGCCAUGGAAACUUUUCUCUCUCCUUCCCACUGUUUUUGGCGAGUUUUUUAUUAAACAAAACAAAAAAAAUUCUAAAUGCCCUCAUUAGCCCCAUCUUCAUUUCCAGCAGAAUCAGAGGUACUCUCCCUAUGUCUAGGCCCAAAAUCUCUGACUCACAGUACCCUGAACACUAAGAAACACAGACACUUUCAUUCUCCAAUAUGGAGAAGUGAACACUGAGUUUAUUCACUCAUUCAUUCACUGCAUGUAAUCUCUCAUUACAAAGCUCUAGUCUAGGCCCCUUGUGAAUAUAGACUUGAGAAAACGCCCACAUUCAAAGGAGCCAAUCAUCCAGUAGGAGAAAGAAAAUGAGUACAUAGCUGAUUUAAGACAGCAUUAAAGAGAAGUGCGAAAUGCUGUAGGGGUUCACAGGGUAAAAGCAGUCAUAUCCAGCUAGUACCAGUGGGUAAUGCUUCUUGGAGGAAGUAGCAUUUAAACUGAUCCUAGAAAGUUGACAAAGAAUUAAAGGGUGAGAGUUUGGGUUUAAUUCUACUUGGUCUUCUAUGUUAGGUUGAAGAACCUAGUCUUUACUUACCAUAAAAGGUAUUUUUGAGUCACAGCGUGAUAUAGAUAUCAUAUACCUGGAUAAUAAAUCUGAAAGUAUGGAACACCACUAAAUGGAGAGAGGACCCGAGGGCUUGGGAGGAUAGAGGUGAGAAAAACAGGAAAUUGAGAAGGCUCAACCAGUGUGGGGGGAAUAUGACAGUGUUUCAUUUCCCAUGCAUCAAGCUUCAGGUAGAAAAGAUCAUCUUUCCUCCCAAUUAAUUGGCAAGACAGAAAAACAAAAUCACUUAAAUA